rnacentral:rRNA from 1 species
GACAGAGGCCCCGAGCGUUAAUCGGAAUUACUGGGCUUAAAGGGUGCGUAGGCGGACCAGAAAGUGCUUUGUGAAAUCCCCCGGCUCAACCGGGGAACAGCGGGGCAUACUGCUGGUCUUGAGGCAAGUAAGGGUUGCGAGAACUGUAGGUGGAGCGGUGAAAUGCGUAGAUAUCUACAGGAAUGCCGAUGGUGAAGACGCGCAACUGGGCUUGUCCUGACGCUGAGGCACGAAAGCGUGGGGAGCAAACAGG